rnacentral:rRNA from 1 species
GAACGCGAAAGUGGAGCAAUCCAUGAGUAGAGUGGCAAACGGGUGAGUAACGCGUGGGUGACCUGCCUUCGAGCGGGGGAUAACGUUUCGAAAGGAACGCUAAUACCGCAUGACAUCCUGCCUUUGAAUAGGUGGAGAUCAAAGCUGGGGCUCGCAAGACCUAGCACUCGAAGAGGGGCCCGCGUCUGAUUAGCUAGUUGGUGAGGUAACGGCUCACCAAGGCGACGAUCAGUAUCCGGCCUGAGAGGGCGGACGGACACACUGGGACUGAGACACGGCCCAGACUCCUACGGGAGGCAGCAGUGGGGAAUUGUUCGCAAUGGGCGCAAGCCUGACGACGCAACGCCGCGUGGAGGAUGAAGAUCUUCGGGUCGUAAACUCCUUUCGAUCGAGACGAACGGCUUCCGGGUGAACAAUCCGGGAGAGUGACGGUACCGAGAGAAGAAGCCCCGGCUAACUCCGUG